UACGUAGGGGGCUAGCGUUGUCCGGAAUCAUUGGGCGUAAAGCGCGUGUAGGCGGUCCGGUAAGUCCGCUGUGAAAGUCGGGGGCUCAACCCUCGGAUGCCGGUGGAUACUGUCGGGCUAGAGUGCGGGAGAGGCGAGUGGAAUUCCUGGUGUAGCGGUGAAAUGCGCAGAUAUCAGGAGGAACACCAAUUGCGAAGGCAGCUCGCUGGGACGUUACUGACGCUGAGACGCGAAAGCGUGGGGAGCAAACAGG
rnacentral:rRNA from 1 species